UACGUAGGGUGCAAGCGUUAAUCGGAAUUACUGGGCGUAAAGCGUGCGCAGGCGGUUGUGCAAGACAGAUGUGAAAUCCCCGGGCUUAACCUGGGAAUUGCAUUUGUGACUGCACGGCUAGAGUGUGUCAGAGGGGGGUAGGAAUUCCACGUGUGAGCAGUGAAAUGCGUAGAUAUCAAGAGGAACACCUGAGGUGAAGACGGGUUGCUGGGCUGAUGACUGACGCUGAGGCGCGAAAGCUAGGGUAGCGAACGGG
rnacentral:rRNA from 1 species